GCCAGACUCCUACGGGAGGCAGCAGUGGGGAAUAUUGCACAAUGGGGGGAACCCUGAUGCAGCGACGCCGCGUGAGUGAAGAAGUAUUUCGGUAUGUAAAGCCCUAUCAGCAGGGAAGAAAGAAGACGGUACCUGACUAAGAAGCCCCGGCUAACUACGUGCCAGCAGCCGCGGUAAUACGUAGGGGGCGAGCGUUAUCCGGAUUCACUGGGUGUAAAGGGAGCGUAGACGGCCGUGCAAGCCAGGAGUGAAAGCCCGGGGCCCAACCCCGGGACUGCUCUUGGAACUGUGCGGCUGGAGUGCGGGAGGGGCAGGCGGAAUUCCUGGUGUAGCGGUGAAAUGCGUAGAUAUCAGGAGGAGCACCGGUGGCGAAGGCGGCCUGCUGGACUGCGACUGACGUUGAGGCCCGAAAGCGUGGGGAGCAAACAGGAUUAGAUACCCCGGUA
rnacentral:rRNA from 1 species